GAUGAACGCUGGCGGCGUGCCUAAUACAUGCAAGUCGAGCGAACGGACGAGAAGCUUGCUUUUCUGAUGUUAGCGGCGGACGGGUGAGUAACACGUGGAUAACCUACCUAUAAGACUGGGAUAACUUCGGGAAACCGGAGCUAAUACCUUAUAAUAUUUUGAACCGCAUGGUUCAAAAGUGAAAGACGGUCUUGCUGUCACUUAUAGAUGGAUCCGCGCUGCAUUAGCUAGUUGGUAAGGUAACGGCUUACCAAGGCAACGAUGCAUAGCCGACCUGAGAGGGUGAUCGACCACACUGGAACUGAGACACGGUCCAGACUCCUACGGGAGGCAGCAGUAGGGAAUCUUCCGCAAUGGGCGAAAGCCUGACGGAGCAACGCCGCGUGAGUGAUGAAGGUCUUCGGAUCGUAAAACUCUGUUAUUAGGGAAGAACAUAUGUGUAAGUAACUGUGCACAUCUUGACGUUACCUAAUCAGAAAGCCACGGCUAACUACGUG
rnacentral:rRNA from 1 species